rnacentral:rRNA from 1 species
UUGGAGGGCAAGUCUGGUGCCAGCAGCCGCGGUAAUUCCAGCUCCAAUAGCGUAUAUUAAAGUUGUUGCAGUUAAAAAGCUCGUAGUUGAAUUUCGGGAUCAAUAUUUCGGUCAUGCCGUUGGUAUGCACUGUUAUCAUUGAUUUCUCACCUUCUAAAGACCGUAAUGCCAUUAAUUUGGUGUUACGGGGAAUUAGGACUGUUACCUUGAAAAAUUAGAGUGUUUAAAGCAGGCUCACGCUUGAAUACAUUAGCAUGGAAUAAUGAAAUAGGACAUCCGAUUCUAUUUUGUUGGUUUCUAGGAUCGAUGUAAUGAUUAAUAGGGAUAGUUGGGGGCAUUAGUAUUCAAUUGUCAGAGGUGAAAUUCUUGGAUUUAUUGAAGACUAACUACUGCGAAAGCAUUUGCCAAGGAUGUUUUCAUUAAUCAAGAACGAAAGUUAGGGGAUCGAAGACGAUCAGAUACCGUCGUAGUCUUAACCAUAAACUAUGCCGACUAGGGAUCGGAUGAUGUUAAUUUUUAAUGACUCAUUC